rnacentral:tRNA from 1 species
GCGGAUAUGGUUGAAUGGUAAAAUUUCUCUUUGCCAAGGAGAAGAUGCGGGUAUGGUUGAAUGGUAAAAUUUCUCUUUGCCAAGGAGAAGAUGCGGGUUCGAUCCCCGCUAUCCGC